AGGCGGAGGGCACCGAGCCUGCUCCCGGGAAGCGAGCGGGGGCAGGGCAAACGCUGCCUCGACGCCAGCAAGGAGACGGUAUUCCCCCAAAGCGGCCCACCCGGCGUCACCGCCGUCGCUCCCAGCACCGAUUGCAAGACCACAGAAUAUCGAUGGUGCUGCGGAGGAAAAACGGGCCAUAUACGAGACCGGACAAGCCCAGGGGAGGCCAGCAUGCAGGCCGUCCAAACCCAGACACCAAAGUAACCAUGCAGGGUGGACCAAAGGCAAAAAUUCCUGACUAAAAGCAAGUCCUGGCAGACUCCUUGAAGGCACAACCCUCGGCUCCCGAGCACGAGACCACGUCACCGUGUCCCCCGCACGCCAUCUCUGUGUGCCGGACCUGUGAACUCUCCCGCACCCACCGCCGUCAAAGAAGUCUACGCCUCUAUGUUUUAUCCAAUCCCAGAGAGUUCCCCGCUUUGCUUUCUCUCUCCUCCCUAACCCAUCACCAACAGAUGUCGUGGAACCUUCCUUACGGCUCCUCCUCUGAAUCUAAUGUGUAAAACCGCCAUCUCCAGAGCGUUUUCUCAGUCCGCUGAGAUUUUGCUUCCCGGCAGUCGUCGUCAGUUUGGCUCGAGGAAACUCUUCUAAGAGUUAAGUCAUAUGAGGAAUUUUUUCUGCGGCUGGAUGCUCUUGCGUCAACAGUACUGUAAUUUAUUUAAAUGAUGGCAGCCAUGGGCAGCAUCCCAUUACAAUCGCCAUUAACAUCAUUUCCAUGACUUGUCCUUAAUAUCCAGUUCUGAUACUAGGAAGUUAUUUGCACGUGAAGUGUUACUUUUUUCAUCAAAGUACCCAAAACGUUUUUUAAAAAAUAUUUUAUCCCAAGGAAGAGGUAAUGUUUUAACUGCUAAGUUACUGUCUCUGCGGCCGGUGUACUUGUUCCUUGUGUGCUGUCACGGGUCACAUAGUGUGACGUCUGGGUCAACAAGGGACCGUGAGUGAUAAUGGAGUUGGAAACUUCCUGUCAUUGAGUGAUGCCCUGAGGUUGUGGGGUCAUGCGUAGGUGUGUGGCAGGCUGGACCACCUGGUUUGUGUGUGUGUACUCUGCUAUGUGCACACGCCGACGAAGUCACCUAAUGUCACGUUUCUCAGAAGGUGACCCAUGGAGCGUGGCUCGGUUUCCAGGUCCUCAGUCGUGCUCUUUCCGAAAACCGACUGUAAAGUCCUCAGGGCGACGCUGCCCGUUCACAGCCACCCUCCUCCCAAUGUAAAACAGAAGGCUGGCCUGUGCCCGGGAGAAGGACGAUUUGAAAUACUGGUGUCAGUUUUCAUGUAAACGAAUGGCUAGUGCUAACUUAAAAAUAAAAAGGCCCUUUGAAGUGAGGGGCAACAGCAUUUAUUUGAGAUCAGUAAGAAUAGCUAUUUGGGAAGCACUGACUCAGUGUUCGGAUGAAGACACAAAGGCCAUGGUGUGUUUAUCAGAAGGGAAGGGGGACAAUGACAUCCAUAGAAGGCAUUGCUAUCGGUGCCAAUAACAUAAAAGAGUGAUGCUGAUUCUGAGUGAUGGUUUUAAUUUGUAUCCGGUUGUCAGCAGUCUAGUAGUCAUAAUAUCCGCUUUCUUGUUAUCUUUGCAAACGGUCUUUUGGGAUUUGAUGAUGCCUCGGCUCAGUCCAAAGGUCACCUUGCCCGGUUUUGACACUGCAGGGAUUCGAGGCCUAAGACGUGCAAUGCAGGUCCUCUGGAGGGGCAGCCCUGGCUCCAUUUUAAAGUGGCUUCAUUUAUAGUAUCAUUUACAAUAGGAACUUUUUUCAAUUCUUCGUUUUCCACAAAAUUGAAGGAAGACCCAAUUAGGCUGUCAGCUGAUAGGUCCUUAACACAUUUUUUUUUAUAAUAGAUGAUGUUAUGAGUUGAAUUGUCUCCCCACCAAAACAUCUAUUUUGAGAUCUUAACCCCAGUACCUUAAAUACGACCUUAUGUUGAAAUCAGGUCUUUCCAGAGGUCAUGGAGCUAAAAAGAGGUCAUCAGGGCGAGCCCCGAUCCAGCAAGACUGCUCUCCUUGCGGAAGGGGGAAGCUGGGCCACAGACACAGACGCACACACGCAGAAAACAACGACACGCAGGGAGAAGCCGGCCGUGUGUCGUGCAUCCAUGACGCAAGGCACGCCUGGGGCGCCGGCAAACGACGAAAGCCGGAGGGGGCAAGGAAGGAUGUCCCUCCGGAGCCCUCCGAGGAGCGUGGCUUGAUUUCAAACGUCCAGACUCCGGAACGGUGGGACGAAGAAUUCGUGUUGAGAUAAAGCCCCACAGUGCACUGUGCUUUCCUGCAGCGGCCCCGGGAAACAAAUACAGACCCCUAUGUGACUUCUAGCAUAGAAUUCCCAGAGUUCAAAACGAUGGCGAGACAGCGUUAAACAAAACUCCCUCUGCUUUCGUCUGCUUAUGUAUGUAAACCGGUGUUUCUCACCAUCCCCACCCGUAAAACCGAACGAGGGAGAAAUGGGAAAUCUGGCCCAUCCCGGCAAAUAAUAAUAUUCAUCCUAAGAUUCAUUCAUGAGCUGGUUUUACAGUUACUUUCCACACUGUUAAGUGAGAGAGUUCUAGAAAAUUCUACUUUUCGCAAAUUAUUCAUUGAAAUGGGUAAUUCUACUUUUCAUAAGUUAUUCAUUAAAAUGUGUAGUAAAUACAUUGUAUUGGUUUAA